ensembl:misc_RNA
UCAAAAAGACAAGAAGCUGAGGUCAUCUGUUUAUCCGCAGGACAACGAAGGGCCAAGGCAGGGCUUAGCCAGCCAGCUUUUUUCCAGACUGUUCUCCUGGUGACCCUCAACCCUGUACCAGCACGGAGAGAAAGAUGACCUCAGCCUUCCUUUUGACUUAUUGUUUAU